rnacentral:ncRNA from 1 species
UGCGAAGUAUUGAUUAUAAUAACAAUUGCUUAUAAUUAAGAACCCGAACAAGGAUGAACUAAUCUUGUCCAGAAUGAAAUCUAGAUAAGUCUAUAUAGGGGUUCGAACUGGCUGAUAUUGCAAAAUCAUCAGAAGAGAUGACACUAGCGGUGAAACGCUUGUCGAAUUCGGAGCUAGCUUGUUCUCCUCGAAAUGCGUGGAGGCGUAGCUAUUAUUAAUACGUAUUUAAGGUGGUAAAGCACUAUAUAUAAUAUUUAUAUAUUAAAUAAUAUAAUAAUUAUAUAUAAACUAAUAAUACCUAGUUAUGUUUUAAAAUAAGUGAGACUAUUGAGGGAAAUCUCGAAAGUCCAAAAGCAAACAGCCCACAUCACAAGUUAAGGUUUUUAAAAAGUAUUUUUAACACAAAAAGAAAUUUCAUUUCAUUUUUAAUUAGGAGGCCAGCUUAGGAGCAGUUAUCCUUUAAAGAGUCCGUAAUAGCUUGCUAAAUUAGAAAUUAUGUACUAAAAAUGAAAGAAAAAGAAUAAUGUACAUAAACUGAGAUUUAUAUUUAAAUCGAUGGAGGAGCGUUCUAUAUUCAAAAGACAAAAGUGGAAGCUUUUGUAGAAAAAGUAGAAAAGAGAAUGGCA